UACAGAGACUGCGAGCGUUAUUCGGAUUCACUGGGCGUAAAGGGUGCGCAGGCGGCCAAGUGUGUGAGGCGUGAAAGCCCGGGGCUUAACCCCGGAAUUGCGCCUCAAACUACAUGGCUAGAGCAUUGGAGAGGGAAGCGGAAUUCACGGUGUAGCAGUGAAAUGCGUAGAUAUCGUGAGGAACACCAGAGGCGAAGGCGGCUUCCUGGACAAUUGCUGACGCUCAGGCACGAAAGCGUGGGGAGCAAAAGGG
rnacentral:rRNA from 1 species